rnacentral:lncRNA from 1 species
CGAGCUCCCCCUGAGCCGCUCGGGAACAGGGAGGGUUCUGCUACCCUGAGGGGCCCUCCCCGCGGGGCAGAGGGGUUUCCUCAGCAGUGCCCCCGAGCAGGGACCGCGCCAGCCAGCAGAAACAGCUAGUUGUUGUCUACAGUGAAGAAUAAUUGGAAGCAUGGUGCCUGCUUCUUUUCCUCCCAUCCUCGCCUAUGGCCAAGGGUUUCUCGUUUCUAGAAGAUGAAAGAUGUGAUGACUUAGGAAAAACUAGAAUCUGAGUAACUGUGGUGGGCACUGGGCCAGAGGUAGGCAUACACCUUGCCAUCCACAAGAGAAAGUGUGCUGUUCGAGAUGUGAGUCUUCAGAUGUUCCCGCCGCCAUAUCUGACAGCUGCUGCCAAGAUUCCCUGGUGCGAUGGACUCUUAUACCUCUACAACCAGAAGCCCAAGUAAACUCUUCUAUAAGUUGAAUGAAUCAUGCUUUAAAAAAAAAAACCUACUAUC